UACAGGGGGUGCAAACGUUGCUCGGAAUUAUUGGGCGUAAAGCGCGCGUAGGCGGUUACUUAAGUCGGAUGUGAAAGCCCUCGGCUUAACUGAGGAAGUGCACCCGAAACUGAGUAGCUAGAGUACGAAAGAGGGUCGCGGAAUUCCCGGUGUAGAGGUGAAAUUCGUAGAUAUCGGGAGGAACACCGGUGGCGAAGGCGGCGACCUGGGUCGAGACUGACGCUGAGGCGCGAAAGCGUGGGGAGCAAACAGG
rnacentral:rRNA from 1 species